rnacentral:miRNA from 1 species
ACUCUGUGUGUGUGUGUGUGUGUGUGUGUGUGUACACACACACACACACACACACACACAUUUUUAUAUAGUAC